UUCAGGUAUAUCAAGCACCGACCUAGUUAAAUAAAGUACAACUUCACUUUUACUCGUUAGGAACAGUCAACAAUCGUCUACCUGUCGAAAAAAAGUGUAUCUGCAUUUUUCACCUAUUUUAACAUUAAACCAAUAUGGAUCUAAUACAAAAUUAUGAAGUUUGAGGUACAGUAGAUAUCACAUCUUUACUAUUUCUACUUUUCAAUUUCAAGGCAUUUGGUUCCAUAUAUGUAAAGGUUAAAGGUUAAAAACCAAGAAUGCGAGAUAUAAGUUAGAUAUAGCCCCGAGGAACCUUCAGCUCCGAGGGACAAUAUCUGACUUAGUAUCCUAAUUUCGAGGUUUUUAACUGAGUGAGAAUCUAGCUGGGGAGGUUUCAAACAAGAUUUUAUCGACUUUCAGUCGAGAUUUUUCGACUUUACUCCACAAAUUUAAUCUAAUGAUACCAUGGUUGCUUGAAUUUCUUUAGUCUUUACAGGCUGAAUUAAGUAAGAGUUAUAUACCGAGAAAGCGGGAUAUAAGUGAUACAUUGACCCAAGAAGCCGAAGGCCCCGAGGGCCAAUAUAUCACUUACAUCCCCAUGCAGUUAGAGGUAUUUAACUUACUUAUAUAUGAUAACUAAAUAGAUAACAAAACUGAUAUAAUAUAUAUAACUAAUACAGCUAGUAUGACAUUAUGUUAGGUGUAUUAAAACUAAUACAACUCCGCUUAAAGAAAUUUUGGCAACCAUAUAUAUCACAAAGUAAUAUCGUGCAAUUCGGUGUAUUAGCUGUUAAACCGUCUGCUUGAUCGGGUCAUUUAGUAAACUUCUCUCGGGCCUGCCCCCCUUGGCAAUUUCACUAAACGAUCCGAAACGAGCAGGCGAUACACCUCAUUUCAUGAAUUUACUCAUGAUUAUUAAUUACAGGUCUAUAACCGUACAUCAAUAAAUGUAUAAAUUAAGGAAAACUGCCUCAAUUUUUAAAGUCGCUUUAUGAGACAAUUCAAAGACCAUUAUAGUCCACCUUAUACUUACAUCAUAUACAUAUUCCCAUGGAGCGGUAUAUAUAAUAUAAUUUUUCAUUGUUUUCAAUAUAGUUUUGAAUAUCCUACAAUGGAAGAAAGAGAUCUGCAGUGAACACAAUAUAUAUUAUAUAAUAAGUAAAAUUAAUUACUAGACUAAAUUUUUUGUCAUAACUAAAAUGUGGUUUAGUUUGUAAAAGUGAAUGUAAUAUAAUUUCAAGACUUUCGUACAGAAGGUAAAUACUUAGUACAAUUGCACUAACGUUUAGAUGCAGAGUAUGAUGCAGCCGACAAAAGCGCCAAUAUGCUAUAAAUAACCCGUAAUUCCACCUUAAUUAAUUAUAAACUCGGUGUUUCUCCCCAUUGAACUAACGUUAUGGGCAAUUAAGUCCUCACGAUGUACAAAUUCCUGUACAAGUCCCCAGAAUGUUGGGUACAUUUUUUACACAAUUAUACACUCAGCCUGUAUAAUGCCAUUGUGGGAACUUGCACACGCGAAUUUUGACAUUGUGUGGACUUGCACAAGAAUUUUGACGUUAUGAGGGCUUGAAGUCCCCACAAUGUAAAAAUAUUUACACAGGUCCCCAGAACGUUUAGUACGUUUUUUUUACACAGUAAUACACUGAAAAUAAUUCCCU
rnacentral:lncRNA from 1 species